GCUUGUCUCAAAGAUUAAGCCAUGCAUGUCUAAGUAUAAACAAAUCUAUACUGUGAAACUGCGAAUGGCUCAUUAUAUCAGUUAUAGUUUAUUUGAUGGUUCUUGCUACUUGGAUAACCGUAGUAAUUCUAGAGCUAAUACAUGCGUGAAGUCCUGACCUUACGGAAAGGAUGCACUUAUUAGAUACAACCAACCCUUCGGGUCCCUGGUGAAUCAUAAUAAUUGAGCGAACCGCAUGCUUCGGCGGCGGUGGUUCAUUCAAGUUUCUGCCCUAUCAGCUUUCGAUGGUAGGGUAUUGGCCUACCAUGGCGUUAACGGGUAACGGAGAAUUAGGGUUCGAUUCCGGAGAGGGAGCCUGAGAGAUGGCUACCACAUCCAAGGAAGGCAGCAGG
rnacentral:rRNA from 1 species